rnacentral:lncRNA from 10 species
GAAGAAAGCUGCAGCGAUCAGAGCAAAAAAGAGCUCUAAAGUCAGAGCAAGCCAAGAACUUGAGAUGUCUCUGAAGCCUGAGGAACCAGGAAAACCCGUAGUCGCCACAUUUUCUGAGAGCCGGAUAUUGGAAAAGCAAGAUAAACGAGCCAGCUAAGCCUGUGGAACAUGCCUCAUACCUGGAGUCGCCAUUAUCCCUGGAAUUACAAAGAUCUGCAAAAUUUAUAGCGCUCACAGAAACCCUGGAGGCUGUAAUAAACCUGGAGCCCCCUGGACUCUCCUCAGCUCACAAAACCCUCUCAAUUCCUACACAUCCCUUAACACUCAUUCUCCAUUGAAUAGGUGGUUACUCUUAGACCUAGUCUUAGAACCUCUGAAGACACACUUUGUAAUUUGUUGUUUGGCUAAAUGAGAAGAAAUCUGUGCCACCCUGGGAAGGUGUCAAAAGAAGGAAAAAUACAUGUGACAAUAUGAAUCAAGUCCAUCAGCAAGUUACUUUUGAGCGCCUACUGUGUGUCAGUGCCUGAGAUACACCUACAAGAGCGCCAGGCUUUCAAGCCUUCAUAUCUGGAUAGAAUCCCAACUUCAGUGCUUGGUGGCUGUCUAUCUUUGGACAAGAUCUUUCAUUCCCCAUCCUUUGAACAUCACAUGACCCAUAUCUGGGUGGAGAAUGGGUGAAAAGUACUGUUCAGAGAUGCAGGUGAGAAAAAACAUGACGAUGGGCCCUGAAUGCCAAGAUUCAUUGGAGCUUUGGAGCUUUAUCUUGUAGGACCUUAUCCUGACUCCCUUAGAAUGUAAGUUCCAAGAGAACAGGGACUUUGUCUGCCUUGUUUUCUACUUUUAUCACCAGCACCCAGAAUGAUGCCUAAAAUACAAUAAGAUCUCAAG